UACGGAGGGUGCAAGCGUUAAUCGGAAUAACUGGGCGUAAAGGGCACGCAGGCGGUUGUUUAAGUGAGGUGUGAAAGCCCCGGGCUUAACCUGGGAAUUGCAUUUCAGACUGGACAACUAGAGUACUUUAGGGAGGGGUAGAAUUCCACGUGUAGCGGUGAAAUGCGUAGAGAUGUGGAGGAAUACCGAAGGCGAAGGCAGCCCCUUGGGAAUGUACUGACGCUCAUGUGCGAAAGCGUGGGGAGCAAACA
rnacentral:rRNA from 1 species